GUAGCUGGUCUCUCUCUGCAGUCAGGUUGGUGUAACUGGUCUGUAACUGGUCUCUCUCUGCAGUCAGGUUGGUGUUACUGGUCUGUAACUGGUCUCUCUCUGCAGUCAGGUGGUUGAACUGGAUCCACAGCACUGUGAUGGCAGUCAGCAGGAGAACACACAGCAGACCCAG